rnacentral:rRNA from 1 species
GACGAACGCUGGCGGCGUGCUUAACACAUGCAAGUGGUGCGACGAACCAGGGCUUGCCCUGGGGCUAAGCCGCGAACGGGUGAGUAACACGUGAGUAAUCUGCCCCGAUGACCGGGACAACCCGAGGAAACUCGGGCUAAUACCGGAUGUGGUGCACAGGCGUAAGCCCGUGUACUAAAGGAAGCUUCGGCCUCCGCAUUGGGAGGAGCUCGCGGCCCAUUAGCUUGUUGGUGGGGUAACGGCCUACCAAGGCAACGAUGGGUAGCUGGUCUGAGAGGACGAUCAGCCACACUGGGACUGAGACACGGCCCAGACUCCUACGGGAGGCAGCAGUGGGGAAUCUUGCGCAAUGCGCGAAAGCGUGACGCAGCAACGCCGCGUGGGGGAAGACGGCCUUCGGGUUGUAAACCCCUUUCAGGAGGGACGAAGGUUCACCGGUGAAUAGCCGUGUGGAUUGACGGUACCUCCACAAGAAGCUCCGGCUAACUACGUGCCAGCAGCCGCGGUAACAC